CACGGAUGCAGAUCAUCCAACAGCCGAUUCCCCAACAGCCGAUGACAAUAUUUCAGCAGAUCCCUGGGAUCCUGUCUCCGUUCGCUCAGCCUGUAAGGCCAGGACACGUCCGAGAAGGUAGGA
rnacentral:lncRNA from 1 species